rfam:Nicotiana attenuata strain TT chromosome 2, whole genome shotgun sequence.
UGGACAUAUUAUUUUAUUCGACUGUAUUCACGGCGUGAAACAGAGAUUACACUGUUUUUAAACGGAAAGUGAAUCAAUUAACAUAAUAGACUCCU